CCCCCCCCCCUGUGAGACAGUGUCUUGCUAUGUAGCUGUGGCUGUCCUGGAACUCACUCUGUGAACCAAGCUGGCUUCUAAUUCACAAAGAUCUGCCUGCCUCUACCUCCCAAGUGCUGGGACUAAAGGCAUGUACCACUACACCAGGCUAAAAUCCUCCUAUUUUAUAUACUCAUAAAAGAUAAUUAAAGAUUAAUAAAACUCUAAUAGCUUCUCCAAACAUGAAAUGCUUAGGGAAAAAUGCUUAGGUAGCAGAAAACUAUAAAAUGCUGAUAAACAAAGACUGCUUAAGGAAAUGGAGUCAUGCUCUCGAGUUGGAAGAGUCAGUGCUUCUAAAAGUGUCCUCCCUAAUCUGUAAAGAGAAUCCCCCAACAAUUCUGCUCCAGCUGGAGCCCUAGGACAGGUGGGAGGGGCCAGCGAAGAUGGAUAGAACAAUUUGGAGGGAACCCAAGGUGAGCAUGGGCCAGAAUGGCUAUGUUCGAGCCAGGAGAGCAGAAGGAAGGCAUCCUACACUAUGACAAGGUGAGAUCCGCAGGUGUACUGUGCAGAGUGGACAGGGCUUUGUCCCUUUAACAUGCCUUUCAGAAGAUGAGGUCACCAGGCAAGGACAAUCAGAGAACGUGAGUGUGAUAACCUCAGUCACAGCAGCUAUGGGGCAAAAAGAGCUCUGUGAGCAGAGCCAACAGGAGGUGGUGUCUGCAUUCAGGUCUCACUGUGUAACUCUGGCUGUCCUGGAACUCACUAUGUAGACCAGGCUGGCCUCAGACUCAAAGAGAUCCCCCUGCUUCUGCCUCCUGAGUGCUAAGCUUGAAGGAAGAUGUGCACCAUAUCCUGGUAGGUGUUGGUGCUCUUAUCCAUUUGCUGGAAAUGUAGCCACAGGAGGUUAGUUGCCCAGGUUGGCAUUGUUGAUUUGGCAACAAAGAAUCACCUGCAAAAGGAGCACCAGUCGGGUAACUGUUUGAAUCAGCUGGGCCUGUGGAUGUGUCUAUGCAAGAUUGUCUUGAUUGAUGUAGCAGGGGCUAGCCUAUUGUGGGCCAUACUACUUCCUGGGAAGGUGGUUCUGUAUUGUAUGAGAAUGCUAGCUUGUGAGAGAGAGAGAGAGAGAGAGAGAGAGAGAGAGAGAGAGAGAGAGAGAGAGAGAGAGAGAGAGAGAGCGCGAGCAAGUGAGCAAUCAAGAAAAAGAGUGAGGAAGUAAGCAGCACUAUUCCAUGGUUCCUGCCUUGGGAUCAUGUUCUGACUGCCCUUAACAGUAGACAGUAGAUUGUAACCAGGAAGUAAAAGCCGAGUAAACCCUGUGUUCCCUAAGUUGUUUUCAGUCAGAGUGGUUUUUGUUUUUGUUUUUGUUUUUCACAGCAACAGAAUAUGACUAGGCCAAUAAUCCUUUGAAAAUUUAAGUCAUUUUUAAUCUUCCAAAUUCUUUGAUAAAAAUUCCUGGUGUGGACAAUCUCUUGAACCUUGGUCUUGUACACUAUACCACAUGAUGUAAGACUUUGCAGAGCUUUGAACCGGUGUCUUCACUGGAGACUCUGUUGGUUUGGAAGAAGUCUUGGAGGGGCUGAGAGCCUCUCCUAUAUGCACGUCUAAGGUGUUGGCAGGAAUAUGGUGCCUGUAGUCUCCUGCUUCUGGUUAUGGUCCAACUGGCUCUUUGGAAAGAACUCCUUUAUCCACUAGGGAGCAGCUGCAUUGGGAUAGGAACAGACCCAGAAAGCACAGGAGCUCGGUGGGAAGGAGGGGCUCGUAGAAGCAACUAGAAAUUCGAUUGAAGAGGCCAGUGACCAAGACCUCAGCCUCUGGCCAAGGGCUCCGGAUACUUUGCUCCUCUGCCCACUGGAGCAGGACAAAUGCAGGAGCAGCAAGACCUCACUCACUGUGAGGGUACCUGAGCCUCCAAGGAUGAACAGAUCACAGCCUUGGUUCAGCCGAGGGGUAGAUAGACAGAUAUACAGUGGACAAAGAUCACACAGUGAUGUGGCUGAGGCUCUGCUGCUGGGAGUAAGGCCAGAGGUACAUGAAUGGCUGAAGCCAGAGACACUAGGAUUGUCAGAGGAACACCAAUGGGAUCCUGAAUGGAAGUCAAGACUUACCUCUGAGACCAGCAGAACAUGGCCCCUUUAUGACUACACCCCUUAACACAUCUCCUCCUGCUCUCAGUCUCAGGGGCACCAGCAGCAGCCAUUUGCCUCUGAGAAGAACCUCUAGAUCUAAGGAAUCAGCUCAUCUGACCUAAGAAGUAAAGAGCAGGUGGAGGUAGGGGUCUCAGGUCUACCAUGGACCUCUAUGGAUCACCCUUUUCCUAUGACAUGGACCAAAGUCUCUCCUCUAGGCCUAUGACAUCAGCUUUCACCUAUCCUAGUCUCUGUUGCAAGCUCACUAAACUUAUGAGCUCAGUUUUACUUCUGAAUUUGGAUUGUGAUGAUGAACUGUCAUUGUGAACUUGACCCACUUAGAAUCACCCAGGAAGUCUCAAGGGAUUAUAUGCUUGGGUUGACCUGUGGUGGGAUUAUCUUAAAGGUUUGGUUAAGAGCCUUAGACUUUAAUGGCUGAGCUAUGCUUCUAGUCCUGGUUAUCUUAAUUGAUCUGGGAUCAUCCAGUCCACUGUGGGUGGCACCAUUCCCUAGGCAGGGAUUCAUGAACUGUAUAAGAAUGAAGAAGUUGAGUUGCAUACAAACAAGCAAAUGCAUACAUUUAUUUUCCUCUGCUCUUGACCAUAUGUGAUGUGACUAGUUGUUUGAAGUUCCUGCCCUGACCUUCUUCUUCUCGCAAUGAUAGAUGGUAACUAUCCACGACAGAUGGAUUUACAAGCUGAAGCAAUCAAUAUCUUUCCCCCUAAGUUUCUUUUUGUCAAUAUAUUUUAUAUCAACCAAAAUAAAACUAUGACAGGGGCAAUGUCCUUGCCUCACAGGGCUGCUAAGGAAACCACAGGAAAUGUUCUGUAAGAGCAACCAAUGAGUUCAUAUGUAGAAUUGCUGGUCUCUCUGUACUCUGGAGGUACAAGGUUGUAGUGGGAAGGACUCCCUGACCUGCUUCCUGCCUCUGCCACGCUUUUCUGUUCUUGAAUUUGUUAGGUCACUUUAUUAUUUCUCCAACCACUGAGGAGCACUUCCUACAGCACUGGGCAGCAGGAAGGGCAGAGGGAGUCUGAGGAGGAAAGGGUGGCAUCAGGCCAAGGUCACAGAGAGCACUUCUAAGGUGGGAACCCAGUGGUGAGGACCUAGGCCAUUGUAACACUAGGUGACAGUGACAAUGACCUUAGCAGCCAUCCUUGAGGUCUCUGGGUUUAAAAUAAUGCCCCAUCUGUGAUACUAAAUGCUGACAAAUUCUAGUUUGGAAGAACAGAGUGUUAGAAUCCUGCUGCCGCUCAGUGACAGUGCCUGUAAUAACCUUCCCCUCACACAGGCACCCAAGGGAUCCUACAGAGACAUUCUGUGAGGUCUCAGCUCACACAUUCCCAGGUGCCAGGAUCUCGCUUGAGUUUAUAUUGAAGGGAAUAUUGGUGGUCACACCCCCUGCCCCCACCCCCUCCCUGACACCUGCCUAGGAAUCAGAGAGCCUACCUGUAGGCUUAUACGGUAAAACCACCCUCCAAGUAGAAAGGCAUGAGACUCCUGUUUCUGCCUUGUAGGCUCUGAUUCCUCUCUUCACAGACCACCACAAUUCUGUCUGUCUCUUGAACUCUCCUCAGAGUCCUCACCAUUGUUGUUGUCAAUAUGCUCAUCUAUCUAUCUAUCCAUGGUGUGACUGACUCUUUUGAUAAGUUCCUAAUUACCACCAAUCUGUUUCAGUGUCCCUCUUGAACACCCACCCAUGACCUUUUACAGUGUUAUCUCCCACACAGGAAGUGAGGGCUCCUGGUGGGUUCUGCCCCAAAAAAAUCUACAUCGUGAGAGUGGUCAUAUUUUCCUUGUGUGUGUUCAUGUAUGUGUAUGUGUAUGGGUGCAUGUAUGUAUACAACACUGAAUGCAGAGGUUAACUUCAGGUGUUAUUUCUUAGGCACUAUCAGCUUUAUUAUUGUAUGUGUGAGCAUGCGCAGGUACAUGUGUGUGGGGCGACAGGCUGUGAAAGGUACCCUGAUUCCUGGUCGAGAUAGGUCAAAUCCCGGGGGACCCUUAAAAGGAACAGCAGGCACAUUCCCAGUCUUCCAGGAGAUCGAGGCCUCACAUAGCUGCAGCCCCCACUCCCCCGGCCCCCUGCCGACCCCUGUUGAGAGGUUUGAGACAGACCAGUCACAUAGGGCAGUGCCCCAAGCUCCUCCUCCACAGGUGAGGAUGUGACCACAGGUUACAUAAGCUCAAGACUGAUCAGUCUUAGAAGCAGGACCACGCCUCCGAAUAUGUAGAUGAGGUCCUCCCAAGCUUUCAGGUUAAACCAAUAGGAAGUACCUGCUGUCAGACACUGACAAAAACUGUAUUUAAGAAUCAAAAACUGUAUUUAAGAAAGGUGUGCAGGAAUUAUUCCAUUGUCUGAGAGCCUCUGUCAUAAGAGCGGUAACACCGCUGCUUGGGGAAGGGAUCUGCUCUCCUGAAAUCGCCGCCAGAAGCUCCCCUGCACCCCUCGCCGCCGGUUAGUCAGUCUCCUGUUGGCUUGGCCUGGCCAGAGCAACCGAAGCGGCUGUGGUGAAAAGGAACCGGACCAGCAGCGGAGGCAGCAGAAGCAGUCCCCCUCCCUGCCCGAGCUCUCUUUCCUUUCCUUCUCCCGAACCCAAGCAACUAUCCCGGCCAGAGGUCUCCGUGGGAGCCCCUGGCGUGCAGCCCCACGCAUGUGUGCCACGACAUGGACUUUAUGUUGCUGUGGCUGGCCUGGAACUUACUAUGUGGACCAGGCUGACCUCAAAGUCACAAAAAUCCAACUGAGUAUUGGGAUUAAAGGAGAUCUGAUCUGCCACUCCUCUGGGGGUUGCAACCCACAGGUUAAGAAGCACCUGUGAUGAAUGCUUUCAGCUGCUGCUCCAGCAUCUGCUGGAGCCUGUCUCCUUCCCAUCACGAUGAUCACGGACUAACCCUCUGAAACAGUGAGCAAGCCCCCAAGUAAAUGCUUUAUUUUUAUAAGAGUUGCCUUGGUCGUGGUGUUUGCUCACAGCAAUAGAGCAGUAACUAGGACAGGAUCGAACUCAGGUUCUCAUGUUAUCAAGACAAUGACUUUAUCAACUGAGCUAUCUCCCUAGACCACACUUUCUGAAGGCUAGGGUUAUAUGGAGAGCAUCAGUUUGGAUGCUGGGAGGAAGGACUCCUAAGGGGAAUGCUUAGAUCUGCUUGGGCCUGCUUUCAGAUUCCUUCUUUCCUGCACAUCGCUGCUUUGGGAUAGGUUUGGACUCCAUCAACUGAAGCCCUAAAGGAGCAGGCAGCCUCUCUAUUUUCUAGGCUCUAUUUUCUGCUACAGGGCCUUCUUCUUGCCCACAUAUAUGUCCCAUAUGCCAGACAGGCGUAGACACAGCCUUCAAGGGGCCCAUCCACAGAGUGGACCUGCCUUCAUGCUACACUUGGAUCCAGGAAGUUCUUAGCUUGUUGCUUUGUGGUGACUUCUGCAUUCUGACUGAGGAAGAAAUCUGGGGAAUGGAGCUCACUAGAAGAGACAACCCUGCCAUGAAGCUGAUUAAUCCUGUCUCUCCUGGUAUAUUUCCUGGUGCUGCAGAUAUCCCCUCACAAGCCAGAACCACCCAGACUUCCCACUCUCCCUUUUCUAUGCUUCCCAAUGGCUCUCGAUGCAGAGGACAAAGGAAGAACAUGAUGACUACUCAGCCUGCAAUUCUGCCAAAAGGCCACUGCUGGAGAAGUAAUUACCUUGGCUACAGCAGACAUGUCAACCUUUCUGCACCUCAAGAAAUAUCACCCAUUCUUCAGGAAGGAGGAAGGACUGAGUGCCUCCCACACCUUCCUCUGGAAGUAGGAAUAUCUUAGGAAAAGCCAGCCUCGCACUUGAACUGACUCAUUUGCUAAUUCAGGGCAGAUGUGUUCAUGAAUGAUUCUCCAGGGCAGUAUAGCCCAGAGAAAGGGCUCAGGCUUCUCACAGUUCUGCCCCCUCAGCUUUAAAGUGAGGAAUAACAAUGAUAUCCACACCUA